rnacentral:rRNA from 1 species
AAGGAAUAUUGGUCAAUGGAGGGAACUCUGAACCAGCCAUCCCGCGUGCAGGAUGAAGGCGCUAUGCGUUGUAAACUGCUUUUGUCCCUGGCGAAAAAGCCCUCUGCGGAGGGCACUGACGGUAAGGGAAGAAUAAGCACCGGCUAACUCCGUGCCAGCAGCCGCGGUAAUACGGAGGGUGCAAGCGUUAUCCGGAAUCACUGGGUUUAAAGGGUGCGUAGGCGGUUAGAUAAGUCAGUGGUGAAAGCUUUCAGCUUAACUGGGAAAUUGCCAUUGAUACUGUUUAACUUGAAUCGAGUAGAGGUAGGCGGAAUGUGACGUGUAGCGGUGAAAUGCUUAGAUAUGUCAUAGAACACCGAUUGCGAAGGCAGCUUACUAUAGUCGUAUUGACGCUGAGGCACGAAAGCGUGGGGAUCAAAC